rnacentral:rRNA from 1 species
CUGCUGGUAAAGGUCAUUACGUAUUACUUUACUUACCGGAGGAAAAGAAACCAACAGGGAUUGCCCUAGUAACGGCGAGUGAAGCGGCAACAGCUCAAAUUUGAAAUCUGGCCCUCGUGGUCCGAGUUGUAAUUUGUAGAGGAUGCUUUGGGUUAGGUGCCUUCCGAGUUCCCUGGAACGGGACGCCAUAGAGGGUGAGAGCCCCGUCUGGUUGGACACCGAGCCUCUGUAAAGCUCCUUCGACGAGUCGAGUAGUUUGGGAAUGCUGCUCUAAAUGGGAGGUAUAUGUCUUCUAAAGCUAAAUAUUGGCCAGAGACCGAUAGCGCACAAGUAGAGUGAUCGAAAGAUGAAAAGCACUUUGAAAAGAGGGUUAAAAAGUACGUGAAAUUGUUGAAAGGGAAGCGCUUGUGACCAGACUUGGGCCCGGUCAAUCAUCCAGGGUUCUCCCUGGUGCACUUUUCCGGCUCAGGCCAGCAUCAGUUUGUCGCGGGGGAUAAAGACGUUGGGAAUGUGGCUCCCCCGGGAGUGUUAUAGCCCUUCGUGUAAUACCCUGCUUCGGACUGAGGUUCGCGCAUCUGCAAGGAUGCUGGCGUAAUGGUCAUCAGCGACCCGUCUUGAAACACGGACCAAGGAGUCGUCUUCGUAUGCGAGUGUUCGGGUAUCAAACCCCUACGCGUAAUGAAAGUGAACGCAGGUGAGAGCUUCGGCGCAUCAUCGACCGAUCCUGAUGUUCUCGGAUGGAUUUGAGUAAGAGCAUACGGGGCCGGACCCGAAAGAAGGUGAACUAUGCCUGUAUAGGGUGAAGCCAGAGGAAACUCUGGUGGAGGCUCGCAGCGGUUCUGACGUGCAAAUCGAUCGUCAAAUAUGGGCAUGGGGGCGAAAGACUAAUCGAACCUUCUAGUAGCUGGUUUCCGCCGAAGUUUCCCUCAGGAUAGCAGUGUUGAACUCAGUUUUAUGAGGUAAAGCGAAUGAUUAGGGACUCGGGGG